GGGUCAGUAGGUUGGUCGUGCCACCGGUACGUACUGGUCUCACUGAUUCCUCCUCCCUGAAGAACCGUAAUGCCAUUAAUUUGGUGUUGCGGGGAAACAGGACUGUUACUUUGAAAAAUUAGAGUGUUUAAAGCAAGCUAACGCUUGAAUGCAUUAGCAUGGAAUAAUGAAAUAGGACGAUCGAUCCUAUUUUGUUGGUUUCUAGGAUUGACGUA
rnacentral:rRNA from 1 species